GCCACUCGAGUUUGGGUUUGAGAUUUGAGGAGCAAAGAAAGUGCGAUCCAUUUUUGCUUGAACCCGAUUGCAAACGGUCACAUGAUCACCUCUCUUAGAUCGUGCGUGGAAAUAUGGAAUAAAUUCUGAUCCGCCUCCGCAUGUAACAACCAACAACACCGGACCGGACCGAGUGGCCACCGAUGACGAGCCUCAAGCUCGAGCACUGCGAGCUGACCCCGAACAGGGUGCUGCGCUCGGCGAUCCUCGAGUGGCAACAGCAACAGCUACUUCAGCUGCAGCACCGGACAUGACCAUUUUCUGAACCGGAAUGCAGCUGCACGUCAUUGGAAACUUUAUCUAACUGUAAAUUGUGCGUGUAGUUUAGAGCUAUAGAAUUCAGACUGACAUUUUAGGGGAAAAACUUUGUUCAAAUGAAGAAAGAAAAAUAAACGGGUGAAUUUAGUGCUGUGGAAAUGGCAUAAGGCGCACCAUUUUAAUCGAAGUCGAUUGAAAAUUCGGCGUACCUCGCGGGAGGAACCAGAUCCACCUCCAUGUGCAACAGUACUGGACGGGGGCGAGUGGAGAGCACGAGGGGUGACGGCGGAGGCGACCACGUAGAAGAAGGCAGCGGUGGGAAGCGGGCAAGCGGCAAGCCGGAGCAGCGGCUCAGUGCAGUCCGGAGUGCGGCACCGCAAGGUCUGGGCGAGGGCGACCGCGGCGGCCGCCGCCCGCCGGUUGCCACUUGCCAGCCGUCCGAGUGGUGGGCGG
rnacentral:lncRNA from 1 species